AGAGACAGCAGUCGCCACGGUAAUACGUAGGGUGCAAGCGUUAAUCGGAAUUACUGGGCGUAAAGCGUGCGCAGGCGGUUCGCUAAGACAGAUGUGAAAUCCCCGGGCUUAACCUGGGAACUGCAUUUGUGACUGGCGGGCUAGAGUAUGGCAGAGGGGGGUAGAAUUCCACGUGUAGCAGUGAAAUGCGUAGAGAUGUGGAGGAACACCGAUGGCGAAGGCAGCCCCCUGGGCCAAUACUGACGCUCAUGCACGAGAGCGUGGGGAGCAAACAGGAUUAGAUACCCGCGUAGUCCCUGUCUCUUAUAA
rnacentral:rRNA from 1 species